rnacentral:rRNA from 1 species
UGCCAGCAGCCGCGGUAAUACGGAGGGGGUUAGCGUUGUUCGGAAUCAUUGGGUGUAAAGGGUGCGUAGGCGGGCGUCUAAGUCUGGGGUGAAAUCUUGCCGCUUAACGGUAACAUUGCCAUUGAAACUGAAGUUCUUGAAUGUAGUUGAGGUAGGCGGAAUGUGUUGUGUAGCGGUGAAAUGCAUAGAUAUGACACAGAACGCCAAUUGCGAAGGCAGCUUACUAAGCUACGAUUGACGCUGAGGCACGAAAGCGUGGGGAGCGAACAGGAUUAGAUA